rnacentral:rRNA from 1 species
UACGUAAGUGGCGAGCGUUAUCCGGAAUUACUGGGUGUAAAGGGUGUGUAGGCGGCCUUUUAAGUCCUGUGUUAAAUCCCACGGCUUAACUGUGGGCUUGCGCGGGAAACUGGAAGGCUUGAGUAGAGGAGAGGUAACUGGAAUUCCUAGUGUAGCGGUGAAAUGUGUAGAUAUUAGGAAGAACACCAGUGGCGAAGGCGGGUUACUGGCCUCUUACUGACGCUGAGACACGAAAGCCGGGGGAGCAAACAGGAUUAGAUACCCUGGUAGUCCCGGCUGUAAACGAUGUUCACUAGGUGUGGGGGGUAUCGACUCCCUCUGUGCCGGAGUUAACGCUUUAAGUGAACCACCUGGGGAAUACGGCCGCAAGGUUAAA